rnacentral:rRNA from 1 species
GAUGAACGCUGGCGGCGUGCCUAAUACAUGCAAGUCGAGCGAACAGAUGAGGAGCUUGCUCCUCUGACGUUAGCGGCGGACGGGUGAGUAACACGUGGAUAACCUACCUAUAAGACUGGGAUAACUUCGGGAAACCGGAGCUAAUACCGGAUAAUAUAUUGAACCGCAUGGUUCAAUAGUGAAAGACGGUUUUGCUGUCACUUAUAGAUGGAUCCGCGCCGCAUUAGCUAGUUGGUAAGGUAACGGCUUACCAAGGCAACGAUGCGUAGCCGACCUGAGAGGGUGGUCGGCCACACUGUAACUGAGACACGGUCCAGACUCCUACGGGAGGCAGCAGUAGGGAAUCUUCCGCAAUGGGCGAAAGCCUGACGGAGCAACGCCGCGUGAGUGAUGAAGGUCUUCGGAUCGUAAAACUCUGUUAUUAGGGAAGAACAAAUGUGUAAGUAACUAUGCACGUCUUGACGGUACCUAAUCAGAAAGCCACGGCUAACUACGUG